rnacentral:rRNA from 1 species
CGAGAUCUACACUCUUUCCCUACACGACGCUCUUCCGAUCUCCUCAAGCUGGACGUGGAUUUGAGUGGCAACACAAAGAAACCCGGAGACGUCAGCAGGUGCCACUGGAAGAGUUAUCUUUUCUUUUUAACAUACUAUGGCCAUGGAAUUGGAUUAUCCAGAGAUAUCGGCUGUACGUAUGGCAGAGCAGCUCACUCUAAGAGCUGUCAGUUGCGCAUCUGAUGACCCUUGAAAAUCUGGGGGAGACGAUAAUAUCACGCCAGGUCGUACCCAUAACCGCAUCAGGUCUCCUAGGUUAGCAGCCUCUGGUCCAUAGAACAAUGUAGAUAAGGGAAGUCGGCAAAUUGGAUCCGUAACUUCGGGAUAAGGAUUGGCUCGGAGGAUCGGGUAUAAAGGCCAGACGAUGAUAUCCAAGCUUGCUUUCUAGUGUGGCAACAUGCUGGUUUGCUUGCGAACGAAGAAUUUAUCUGGUAGGCUUCGGCCGUCUCUAUACGUUUAACGAUCGACUCUGAACUGAAGCGGACAAAGGUAAUCCGACUGUUUAAUAAAAACAAAGCAUUGUGACGGCCUCAACAGGUGAUGACACAAUGUGAUUUCUGCCCAGUGCUCUGAAUGUCAAAGUGACGCAAUUCAUCCAAGCGCGGGUAAACGGCGGGAGUAACUAUGACUCUCUUAAGGUAGCCAAAUGCCUCGUCAUCUAAUUAGUGACGCGCAUGAAUGGAUUAAUGAGAUUACCACUGUCCCUAUCUACUAUCUAGCGAACCCACAGCUAAGGGAACGGGCUUAGAAUAAUCAGCGGGGAAAGAAGACCCUGUUGAGCUUGACUCUAGUCUAACUUUGUGAAAUGGCACGUGGGGUAUAGCCUAGGUGGGAGAGAAAUCGAGCCUGUAAAACCACUACCCACGUAGUCAUUUUGCUUAUUUCGUGAAGAAAAGGCUGGUGCAAACCAGUUCUAAAGUUAAAGGCGAUUUUCGUCUGAUUUUUGCGAAAGACAUGGUUAGGGGGGGAGUUUGUCUGGGGCGGAAUGCCUGUUAAACCAUAACGCAGGCGUCCUAAGUGUAGCUCAGUGAGAACGGAAAUCUCACGUAGAACAAAAGGGUAAAAGCUACAUUGAUUUUGAUUUUCAGUAGGAAUACAAACCGCGAAAGCGUGGCCUAUCGAGAUCGGAAGAGCACACGUCUGAACUCCAGUC